rnacentral:tRNA from 1 species
GUCCUCGUAGCAUAAUGGAUAAUGCAGUCGCCUCCUAAGCGACAGAGUGAUGGUUCGACCCCAUUCGAGGACGCCA